AACUCAUUUGGCUGAACUAAAUU
rnacentral:siRNA from 1 species